GAAGGUGGAUGGAAGGUCGCCGGUGCACAAAAACCGUGCACGGGAGGAAAGUCCGGGCUCCAAAGGACAGGGAAGUCGGUAACACCGACCCGGGGCAACCCGAGGGAAAGCGCAACAGAAAUGAUACCGCCGAAGAGCGCCCUCAAUCCGAGAGGUUUGAACGGUGUGGCGAGUGCUUCGCACUCGCUCGGUAAGGGUGAAAUCGUGGGGUAAGAGCUCACGCGCGACAGCCGGGUGACCGGCGGCGAGGCAAGCCCUUCCCGGAGCAAGCUUGAAUAGGGAUAUCUUUGAGGUCUGUCCGGCCAAAGGCCUACUCGCAAGAAUAGGCGGGGUAUCCGGGUGAGAGUGCUUGAGCGCCGCGGCAACGCGGCGCCUAGAUGAAUGAUCUUCACCGACCUCGCGGCAACGCGGGGCCGGAACAAAACCCGGCUUACAGUCCACGCGAAU
rnacentral:RNase_P_RNA from 1 species